UACAGAGGGUGCAAGCGUUGUUCGGAAUUAUUGGGCGUAAAGCGCGUGUAGGCGGCCAAUUAAGUCGGGUGUGAAAGCCCUCAGCUCAACUGAGGAAGUGCGCCCGAGACUGGAUGGCUUGAGUGCUGGAGAGGGUGGCGGAAUUCCCCAAGUAGAGGUGAAAUUCGUAGAGAUGGGGAGGAACACCGGAGGCGAAGGCGGCCACCUGGACAGUAACUGACGCUGAGACGCGAAAGCGUGGGGAGCAAACAGG
rnacentral:rRNA from 1 species